rnacentral:rRNA from 1 species
UACGAAGGGGGCUAGCGUUGCUCGGAAUCACUGGGCGUAAAGGGUGCGUAGGCGGGUCUUUUAAGUCAGGGGUGAAAUCCUGGAGCUCAACUCCAGAACUGCCUUUGAUACUGAAGAUCUUGAGUUCGGGAGAGGUGAGUGGAACUGCGAGUGUAGAGGUGAAAUUCGUAGAUAUUCGCAAGAACACCAGUGGCGAAGGCGGCUCACUGGCCCGAUACUGACGCUGAGGCACGAAAAGCGUGGGGGAGCAAAC